CCUACGGGAGGCUGCAGUGGGGAAUAUUGCACAAUGGGGGAAACCCUGAUGCAGCGACGCCGCGUGAGUGAAGAAGUAUUUCGGUAUGUAAAGCUCUGUCAGCAGGGAAGAAAAUGACGGUACCUGACCAAGAAGCCCCGGCUAACUACGUGCCAGCAGCCGCGGUGAUACGUAGGGGGCAAGCGUUAUCCGGAUUUACUGGGUGUGAAGGGAGCGUAGACGGCAGGGCAAGUCUGGAGUGAAAGGCGGGGGCUCAACCCCCGGACUGCUCUGGAAAAUGGCAGGCUGGAGUGCAGGAGAGGUAAGUGGAAUUCCUAGGGUAGCGGUGAAAUGCGUAGAUAUUAGGAGGAACACCAGUGGCGAAGGCGGCUUACUGGACUGUAACUGACGUUGAGGCUCGAAAGCGUGGGGAGCAAACAGGAUUAGAUACCCGGGUAGUC
rnacentral:rRNA from 1 species